rnacentral:lncRNA from 1 species
AUCAAAUCCUGGCUCUGUCACUGGCUGUUUGCCUCAGGGAAGUUAUUUAACCUCUCUUUGUCUGUAAAACAGGGACCCUAAGAAUUCACGAGAGGAUUAUUGCAAGGGUUAAAUGAGUGAUUCCAGAAGCCAGGCACGUGGUGCAUCCCUGUAAUCCCAGCACUCAUGAGGCUGAGACACGAGGAUCAUCUGAGCCCAGCUUGGACUACAUAGUUCGUGGUCAACCUGAACUAAAUUGAGACCCUGUCUUUAAAAAAAAAAGUGAUUCCAGGUCGCACCUGAGACUCUUGGUAGCUGUUGGCACUGGGAGUUGACCCCCCCCCCCGACUCAUCAAGAAUUCAUGCUCACCCACUGGGGCACCGGUCUGCCAAGAACGCCACCUGUGGCAUCAUCCCUACUGCCACCUACCCCAUCCUGCCAUGACUUGUAACUAAGCAGCCCCUGGCAGAUCCUCUUGCCAACCUCUAACACUUCCUGUUUCUCACACCUGCUCAAUGACAGAGGCGGACCAGGCUGUCUGCUGGCCAGACAGUGGCGAAGCACAGGCCCAGAUAGGGACACAGCUGGUCAGUCAUGCAGCGAUGCUAAGGGGAAACAGGCCCCACACCAAGCCCCUGCUUCUCUGCUAACUAGGCCUGAUUUGGGGAGGUCUCUCUCUGCCUAACUUCUUGGUUCUAACCUGCUGGGGAGAUCUGGUUCUCCAUUGGAUGGGGUGUGGAGGGUGGAGGCUAACACCACCCCUGCACUAGCGUGUGUGUGAAUAGAACAAAAGCAGUAAAAUGACCUCAGUUGGGUUUUGUGGUUUUUUGCAUGGCUGGACUGGCAUUUCCCUUGAUGUUGGCUACAGAGGAAGAAUCGGUCCAGUUAAUCCUAGGAAAAUGACUUGAGACCAGCUCUCCAGGAAGACUAAGAAACUGAGGUCUAGAGAGGAUCGAUGAAGACAAAGGACCUCAACAUUGUCUUCCAGCAAGGCAGUCAGAGAUGAGGUCUGUUUUAUCUUAUUUGGCCCUGGAGAUGGACUCUACCACUGAGCUGCACUGCCAACCCCUGGGAUCUGUUUUGGAGUCAUUUUAAGGAGGCCUAUAGGCACCACCUGCAAGCUGUUCAUCUAUCCUCUGAGUUGGAAGAGGAAAGGAAGACCUUGCCAAGCCCUCCAAACCUGCUUAUAUUCUCUGUCUGGGGGAGUCUGUGCUUUGUCACAGAAUGGACUCCUGGCUUCUCCAUCCUGCCUAACCAAAGAGUAGCUGGGGGCUUCUCUUAGUGAGAACACCCCUCAUUCUGCUUCCCUCACCCCCAAGAACCCUAGGAAAUGAAGCCUGGGCAUUCCGUCCCUGACUGGUGACAGGAGGAUCUGGCGCAGAGACGUCUCAAGGGGAGGGGAUGUCUGAGCUGUGCUCAGAGGACAAUAGGGAGUUUUUCAGGAAGGUGAGCUUCAGAAGGGCAUUCCAGCCUGGGAGCCACCCUGCUGUGGCCCAG